UACGUAGGGUGCAAGCGUUAAUCGGAAUUACUGGGCGUAAAGCGUGCGCAGGCGGUAAUGCAAGACAGAUGUGAAAUCCCCGGGCUUAACCUGGGAACUGCAUUUGUGACUGCAUGGCUGGAGUGCGGCAGAGGGGGAUGGAAUUCCGCGUGUAGCAGUGAAAUGCGUAGAUAUGCGGAGGAACACCGAUGGCGAAGGCAAUCCCCUGGGCCUGCACUGACGCUCAUGCACGAAAGCGUGGGGAGCAAACAGG
rnacentral:rRNA from 1 species